GUGUGUGUGUGUGUGUGUGUGUGUGAGAGACAGAGAGAGAAUGAUGGAAACACAGGAGCUAGCAUAUUCCUGUCUAAGCUCAGGAAAAGUGUAUAUUUUUGGAUGCCUAUAUCAUUCAGCUGUACCUUCCUCCCUCCCUCAUCUUUGCUGUUAUCUUCUGAUUUCCUGAUCACUACAGCCUGUCCACUGGAGCCUUGGGGAGAUAGUCCUGUUAUAAAUCCCAAAUUUUGUCAUCUGAACUCUAGCCUCUGAGAAUUGCCGUAGAUAAAGCCCCAAAAUGGUGCCUAUACAGAUACAUGUUUUCAAACCUGACCUCAGCUCUCAGCCCUCACUUCAAAAUUCUUGUGUGCAUCCCUAGCCUGCUCAUUUUCCCGUUAAAUUCAGAGAGUAUUUCAAAAUAUUAAUCCCCUUUUCAAGAUGUUCAGACUACUGUCCUGUUACUCAAUUCAGCCGAUGACCUCACUGCCUAAUGGACAGAGAUACACAGUCAUCACAUGGGUCUUCUCCCUGUCUUCCAUGUAGUUUCUCACAUCUUUUUUAACCUCUUCUUUUUGUUUUAGUCAAAGAUAUAUUUAUCUUCCAAUCUAAGCUUAAUCCUUCCCUCAAAACCCAGAAAUGUCUAAUAUAUAGAAUCAACUACUAGUUGUUGACAAAAACAGCUGAGAUUUUGACUGGGAAUUAUUGAAUUUAUGGAGAGAUUCACACUAAUUAUUAAAUUAAUAUUUGCUGACAUCCUUGGUAAUAUUUCUUGUUUGAUGGUUAAUUUUCUUGAUAGGACUAUAGUGACUUUAGCUUUUUUAAAAUUUGUAUUUGCAUCCUUUUUCUCUUCAUUUUACUAUAAUCUGUCUUGAGUUUUUGUAUUUAAAAUGAGCUUCCUGUAGACAGUAU
rnacentral:lncRNA from 1 species